rnacentral:rRNA from 1 species
AUUGAACGCUGGCGGCAUGCCUUACACAUGCAAGUCGAACGGCAGCACGGGGCAACCUGGUGGCGAGUGGCGAACGGGUGAGUAAUGCAUCGGAACGUACCUUUCAGUGGGGGAUAACGUAGCGAAAGUUACGCUAAUACCGCAUAUUCUGUGAGCAGGAAAGCAGGGGAUCGCAAGACCUUGCGCUGAUUGAGCGGCCGAUGUCAGAUUAGCUAGUUGGUGAGGGAAAGGCUCACCAAGGCGACGAUCUGUAGCGGGUCUGAGAGGAUGAUCCGCCACACUGGAACUGAGACACGUUCCAGACUCCUACGGGAGGCAGCAGUGGGGAAUUUUGGACAAUGGGGGCAACCCUGAUCCAGCCAUGCCGCGUGAGUGAAGAAGGCCUUCGGGUUGUAAAGCUCUUUCGGCCGGGAAGAAAUCGCACGGGCUAAUACCCUGUGUGGAUGACGGUACCGGAAUAAGAAGCACCGGCUAACUACGUGCCAGCAGCCGCAGUAACAC